rnacentral:rRNA from 1 species
CCUACGGGAGGCAGCAGUGAGGAAUAUUGGUCAAUGGACGCAAGUCUGAACCAGCCACGUCGCGUGAAGGAAGACGGCCCUACGGGUUGUAAACUUCUUUUAUACGGGAAUAAAGUGCCCCACGUGUGGGGUUUUGCAUGUACCGUAUGAAUAAGGAUCGGCUAACUCCGUGCCAGCAGCCGCGGUAAU